AUCAACACUUUCUUUAUGAGAGAUCAACUCCCAUGCAUGCAUCCAACCAAUAUUUCAUUUGGGGGUUUACUAUCAGUGUCUCAUAUGUUUUUAAACUAGAGAAGGAGAGUAGAUUUUGGGCAUGACAAUAUAUAAAAUAAUCAAAUUUCUUUUACAUAGCAAAACCACUAUUUUAGAUAGAGUUUUUUUAUUGGGUUUAGAAGGAUAGAUUGAGAAUUUUACAUCAGUGUUAUAUCUAAGAUUUCCAACACUCUCUAGAGUUUAUUUACAUUAGAUAGUUAAGCAUUCUUGAAGGGUUUUUAUUUGGAUUAUUAGUUUUCAGCUUUGGGGAUUUAUUUUCUAGUUGUUUGGGGGUUUAUAGAGGAGUUGAAACAUCAUUUCCAAGCACUCUUAGAGCAAAUAUUAAAUCAGGAUGGAUAAAUUAAGCUAUUCUUAUAGAUGAUUAAAUGCAUACAACCAUGCAGAUGCCUUAAAAGCAUGAAAGAUGGAUAGUUGAGUUUAUCCUCUUGUGCAUGAAAAGAGGUGUUCAUUUUAAGAAUAUUGGUAUUUUGGAUAUGUUGAUAUGGUUUUGUCAUUGAUGUCACACCUGUCAUCACUUGUCAACACUUAUCAGUACUUGGAGAUUUGGUUAUGUUCACUGGAAAGCAAGUGACUUAUGCACAGUCACCUGUAUUUGGUUCAUCGAUAGGAUAUAUUGUUCACCGACACUUGGAAUCACUUGAAGACUACUUGGUUAUGUCGAAGACAUCGUUUGGACACUUUGUCUUGGUGAUUUGUUCAUUGGUACAUUCAGGUUUGCAUAUUUGUUGUUACCGACAAAUAGGUCCAGGAUAUGCACUGGCAGGCAUAUCUAUUCCAGAUCAGCACGACACGUUAUGGAGAUGAUUUGUUAUUAUUAUAAAUGCAUUUGAGCCGACAUCAUGCAUCGGAUAUUGAUUAUUUGUAAUUGAUUUUAUUGUAAUAUCUUUUAGUGAGCCGACCUAUUCAAUUGGUCUUAGGUUAUGGUAUAAAUGUAAGAUCUCAUUUGUGAGAUUGAUAUGCGAUUGGGAAAAGGAAUUGUAAUAAGGUAUAUGCGAAAAUAAGCAGAGCUAUACACGCAGACAUCAUUUGAAGGUUGAAGGAAGGUUUUUGUGAAGGCAAUCAGAACUAAACCGGUACUGAAUCCAACAUAUGAAGAUGCUAUUUUAUGCAAUACAUUGUCAUUGGAUUUAACCAUCCAAUUGUAAUCAGUGUGACUCUCAUUUUGUGAUUGAGUAGUGAGCUCUAGGUAGCUAGCCUUUCUACAUGUGCAGAAUCCAUAUUGUACACACAUACUAUCUGUAGUAGUAUCAUUUGAUUGUGGGUAAGGCUUCCCACCAUGGUUUUUCCCCUUACAGGGUUUCCACGUACAAAUAUUUGUGUUAUGUGUUGUGGGUGUUGUUGUCUUUCUGUUUCAUGCAUUAAUCUUUACCGGUACUACAAUUAACUAAUAAAACUGUCUACCAGCAUAAAGUUUGGAU